GAUCAGGUAGGGAUCCCGCUGACUAA
rnacentral:rRNA from 1 species